rnacentral:rRNA from 1 species
UACGUAGGGGGCAAGCGUUGUCCGGAUUUAUUGGGCGUAAAGAGCGUGUAGGCGGCCAAGUAGGUCCGUUGUGAAAACUGGAGGCUUAACCUCCAGACGUCGAUGGAAACCGUAUGGCUAGAGUCCGGAAGAGGAGAGUGGAAUUCCUGGUGUAGCGGUGAAAUGCGCAGAUAUCAGGAAGAACACCCGUGGCGAAGGCGGCUCUCUGGGACGGUACUGACGCUGAGACGCGAAAGCGUGGGGAGCGAACAGG